rnacentral:siRNA from 1 species
ACUUGAAGGUUUGAUUCGUUGGU